UGCUCAGAUUGAACGCUGGCGGCAGGCCUAACACAUGCAAGUCGAGCGGUAGAGAGAAGCUUGCUUCUCUUGAGAGCGGCGGACGGGUGAGUAAUGCCUAGGAAUCUGCCUAGUGGUGGGGGAUAACGUUCGGAAACGGACGCUAAUACCGCAUACGUCCUACGGGAGAAAGCGGGGGACCUUCGGGCCUCGCGCCAUUAGAUGAGCCUAGGUCGGAUUAGCUAGUUGGUGAGGUAAUGGCUCACCAAGGCUACGAUCCGUAACUGGUCUGAGAGGAUGAUCAGUCACACUGGAACUGAGACACGUUCCAGACUCCUACGGGAGGCAGCAGUGGGGAAUAUUGGACAAUGGGCGAAAGCCUGAUCCAGCCAUGCCGCGUGUGUGAAGAAGGUCUUCGGAUUGUAAAGCACUUUAAGUUGGGAGGAAGGGUAGUAACUUAAUACGUUGCUACUUUGACGUUACCGACAGAAUAAGCACCGGCUAAUUC
rnacentral:rRNA from 1 species